rnacentral:rRNA from 1 species
GUCUACGACCAUGCCACCCUGAAUGUGCCGGAUCUCGUCUGAUCUCGGAAGCUAAGCAGGGUUGGACCUGAUUAGUACUUGGAUAGGAGGCCACCUAAAAAUACCAGGUGCUGUAGGUG